rnacentral:rRNA from 1 species
AACAGAGGGGGCAAGCAUUAUCUUUGAUCACUGGGCAUAAAGGAAGCGUAGGCGGACAAUAUUCAGAAAGCUUGAUGGAAAUGUUUACAUAUUGAUGUAACUCUUAUCUUGCACUAAUUUUCUAUUGAGAUAUAAUGAGGUUAAUGGAAAGCAAUAUGGAAAUGGGCAAUCGUCUUUAAAUAUAUUGAGUAACACCAAAAAGCGAAGGCAAUUAACCAAUUAUAAUCUGACGCUGAGGCUUGAAGCUUAAGGUAGUAAAAGGG